rnacentral:rRNA from 1 species
CACGUAGGCACCAAGCGUUGUCCGGAUUUACUGGGCGUAAAGCGCGUGUAGGCGGCUUUGCAAGUCGGGCGUGAAAUCCCACGGCUCAACCGUGGAAGUGCACUCGAAACUGCAGAGCUAGAGUCCUGGAGAGGAAGGUGGAAUGCUUGGUGUAGAGGUGAAAUUCGUAGAUAUCAAGCGGAACACCGGUGGCGAAGGCGGCCUUCUGGACAGUGACUGACGCUGAGACGCGAAAGCGUGGGGAGCAAACAGG